UACAGAGGUCUCAAGCGUUGUUCGGAUUCAUUGGGCGUAAAGGGUGUGUAGGUGGCGCCGUAAGUCGGGUGUGAAAUUUCGGAGCUUAACUCCGAAACUGCAUUCGAUACUGCGGUGCUUGAGGACUGGAGAGGAGACUGGAAUUCAUGGUGUAGCAGUGAAAUGCGUAGAGAUCAUGAGGAAGACCAGUGGCGAAGGCGGGUCUCUGGACGGCUAACUGACGCUGAGGCGCGAAGGCCAGGGGAGCAAACGGG
rnacentral:rRNA from 1 species